rnacentral:lncRNA from 1 species
AGGGAGUUGACCAAGAUGGCGCCGAGGCAAGUCACGCUCUCCGGCGCUCACUUUUAUUUUUAAAAAACCUUAUCUUAAUUGCCCUCCGGAUGCCAAUUUUUAACAAACGGAAAACAUUUUAAAGACUCUGAACAUUUUUAUAACUCCUGUCGGCUCUGCGAGCUUCAGCUUGUCCCAGCCUGCUCCCUCCCUCCUUAUCAGCUGCCCGGUCAAGGUUGCCAGAGAGGAGAGAACGCUGCUGCCUGAACUGAGAGCAGAGAGACAGAAGAGGUCUAAAGACAGAACUGUGAACUGCUUAUCCGACCAACGGUGCCUGGAGAAGGAGGGUAAGGAGAGAUACGACUGUGAGCUUUGCUUUGAGAUUGGCCCAUAGACACCCAGCUCAGCUGAACACAGAGAAAGAUAAAGCUUGGAGAUUCAGGGUUAACUGAACUGACUGACCCCCGCCCAGCUGGGGGGCUGUGUGAACUAGCUGGGGACAACAUUCCUGCUUAGUUGAAGAGGAAGUGCUGUAGCUGGAAAGACUCUUCAUUUUAAUAAACUCUUUCGAGGAGACCAGCUUUUAUAUUCUCAGAGACUCCUGGUGAAGGCACCCUGAGUCUUUUACAGGAAUUUUUUAAUCUACACAAUAACUCCACAACAGUGUAUCGGAUAGGACCUUCUGGAGGUUUGGAAAACCGGCUUCAGCAAGAUAUCGUUCUGUGCCCUGCCUUAUGUGGUAGGCCUUUGAAAGACUACCUAGAAGGAAUCAGCGAACCAGCCCACAGAAAGUUUCCCUUCUGGGGCUCUUGGAUAUCCUUCGUUCAGUAUGGGGCGGUGGAAGAUGGCCUCUAAAGACUAAGCUAAGACCCGAAAUACAAGGUUAUCAUAGCUGUACAUGCGCUAUAGCCAAACUCCACUAUUAUCCUUUUCCAGCUGCACACAAAUUGCCUAAAUAAGGCAAUUUUAAUUUUAAUGUAGUUUUUAGCCGUUUUAUUACUGCUGUCUCUUUGGCAGCAUUGUUUUAUUAUUAUAUUCUGACUAGGUUGCAGCAUUUGUGAAACAGCGCUGGUCGCAUGAUUGAGGUGAAAACUACAGGCUUAGGACAAUUGCCAAGAUCUAAAAGCAGAGAACUCAAAAUAGAGAAAUAUAUUGAGGCUGUUGAUGAGCACAUCAGGAAGCUGUUGCAGAGAGCAGGUGGGAAUAUAGAUUGAUACCCCCACUUGCCCCCCAAUCUAAGGCAGUCGCACCUGGGGUAAACUGCCCUCUCUCUAUAUCGAGACCACUUUUACCAUGGUUUUUACUAGGAGAAAAUACAAGGAGUUGGGUAUACUGCCUGACUCGGCAAUCAGCCCCUCGGGCCCUGGUAAAAGACAAAGCAAAAUCACAAAUUACUUUCCUAAGAUGGAGGAGGGUAAGAGUCCACAAAAAGAGUUAAUUCUUGAUGAAGUAAUACCCCCCUCUCUUACUGUUCUUGAUUGGACAUCUAAUUUUAAAGAGAUAUACCAAGAUACUGGAAAUAUUAACUCCCCAUGCAGCCUAGCGCAAGAACUAGCUUUAGCCGAGGAACUUCAGGAGGGAAAUACCUCUAUUACUAAGGAACAGCUGCCCACGGAAGAAAUUACAUCAACCCAUCAAAACCAGAUACUUACUCCAAAAUACUCUCAAACAGAAUUGAGUGACGGUCGCCCUUUGGAUUAUUCCCUAGCAAUAAGUUCUGAUUUAGCCAACAUAAAAAUUAUCUAACAAUAACAAAUGGGCUACUGCUGACGUUAGUAGAAAAUUUCACAUCUCAAUUAAAAGAGUUAAAAUUAAAUGAUAUGCCACAAGAACAUAAAACAGUUGAGCUAGCGUCGAUGAACAAACCAGUAAUAAAUAAGAAUCUGCAAAGACAUAACUCAAGGGUAAAAGUGAAGAAAAGUAAAAAUAUUAAAACAACAAGGAUAGCCAAGCAUACCCGCAGUAAUCGAAACAUACAUUGGCAGAAAUUGUUUAAACUUCUUCCCCCAGCCCCAAAUAAAUCGACCACACGGGGCAGCAAAAGAAGGGUAAAAAGAGAGAAACAAAGGUAGUUACACAGCAACCGGCUAAGGAGGACUCGCUAAGGCUGACUCCAGUAGCAAAUGAGAAGGCAGAAGUAACAACUCAGUCCUUGGAUAACCAACUUUUUAAUAAACCUGAUGCUGCGGAAGUAGAGGCCUCUUUCUAUGAAGGCAAUAAAACACUUAGUAAACCGAACAGCGGGGAAGAGGAAGCGUUUAGUAGAGAUGAUACCCCCCUUCAGACCUGGCAAGCCUCCAGUCAGAAAAGAGAUUGGAAUUUGAUCCUAAAUCCCCAAAAACUGGUAUUCACGAACUUCCCGAAGCCUAAGGGCUUCCUUACAGGGAAACAGCGAAUAAUGAACUUUGUAUCUAGUCUAAAUGACAUACUGCCAGGAAUGGUUAAUGCUAAUGAUAUCACCUCGGUGGAAUAUUUACAUUAUGAUGGUCACUCAGUGAGAGCACUGACCACUUUUAGGGAUCAGAACCUGGCCAAGUAUAUUUUUAGGUCAAGACCUGCCUUUUUAAAAGCACGGACAAUAAUACUUAGGUUCUUUGAAAAUAAGGCUCCUUUGAGCCCCCUUUUGAAAACUAAGCAGGCAAAUCUUAGAAAGGGGAAACAACUCUCAAAAUCCUGGCCUGACAAACAGAACCCGCAAUGCCUUGCAAGUAAAGGUGAGGAUUUCUUUACUAUGGAAGAAAAUAUCCUAAUUGACCAAUUCUGGAUGUUCCCACCAUUAAUACAAACUGACAUCUUGGGAAGACUAGAUAAGCUAAGAGAUAAGCUGGCUGAGAGAGCUUCAGGCAACGAGGUUAUCAAGGGGGACCAAAAAAAGACCACAACACGUAACCUUCAGAUCAAAGCGGAGAUUAACUUUCCACCAAGAGAGAAUGUGCCACCCUUCAAGGAGAGUACUCCAUCACCCCCGAAAGAGAAAUAUCCCCAAGGUGACCCCACAAGACGUAUGGGACAAAAUGAGAUACCUAGAUGAAACAGAAUUGGGCCAAAAUCAGGCCAAAACAGACUAUCCACAGAAGGAAUUUAUGCAUAAUAAAGAGCUGGUGUUCACAAACGUGAGCACUUUGCAUCCACCUAUUGAAAUCAUAGAGCGGCUGGAUAGCCCGCCAUUCAAAGACGAUAGGCGUCCGAUACAUAAAGCGACAAACCCUAAAAGUACGUUAGCUAAUAAUUGACAAAGAUUUGAUUGUGAUAAAGCCAAUCUUAAAUUUUUAUCAUGGAACAUUGCUGGUUGGCUCAACAAGGCGACUGACCAAUCAUUUGUCAAUUUUAUUCAAGAUCAUGAUAUAGUCUUCUUGCAAGAGACAUGGCUAACAGGGGAUCUAGAUGUAAAUGGUUUUGCCUCAUUUUCGCUCGCAGGCUCACCAAGCAACAAAGGGGGACGAGUUAAGGGUGGGCUAGGCAUUUUAAUAUCCACAAGGCUGAGAGCAUCUUUCGUCGAGCUGGAGCCUCUGAGCAGUGUGGCCAUGGCAUUAUUGAUGAAAUGCAGAUAUUGCACACUUCUAUUGAUUAAUAUAUAUGCCCCUCCCCAAAGAGGCAAGCAGCUUAUCAAAAAUCUCUGGCAUAGGAUAGAAUCUUAUGUCGAUGAGCUAAUGAAUCAAACUCCUGCUGCGGCAGUGCUGCUGGCUGGGGAUUUAAAUGCCAGAAUUGGCCAAUCAGACGAAGCGUUAUAUGCUCAUUUUCACGACGUACCUCCCAUUUCUGAAGAAGCCCAUUCUAUUCCCCCAAGGCUCUCAAAAGACAAGGGCUGCAAUUACGCAGGCCUAUGCCUUCUACGUUUUCCAACAAUCUGGAUUUGACUGUAUUAAAUGGUCGUGUCGACAGAGAACCCAGUGGGGAAUUUACAUUUAUAUCCAACAUGGGAGCCUCCACUAUCGAUUACGUCCUGGUGUCAUCUAACCUUUUGAGCAGAGCACGGGAAUGUAAAGUGGUGGAGAGGGUUGACAGCGACCAUCUACCGUUCUGUUUAAUACUGGAUGUAAGAAAAGAUUUAUUUUGCUCUGAUAAACUUGUAGCCCCAUGCUUCGAAAACAUGGAGCUAAGAUACUCACGUAUUAAAUGGUCCAGCAAAUUGAGUGAUGAAAUAUCGGAAAGACUUCACUCAGAUAUUUUUCUUGCUAGAAAGGAGAACCUCGUUAAUUCCCCAACUCCUGAGGCCAGAUUAGACAUGUUCCGGGAACUGAUUUCGUCGCUACAACCUUAUCUGACCAACAAAAAACGCCACGGCAAUCUCUACACUUUAAUAAAUCCAAACCUUGGUUUGACCAAGAAUGCAUGGCUAUGAAACGCCUCCUGCUGGAUAAGUACAGGAACUAUAGAACAGCGAACUUACCUUCGCUUCCAUUAGACUGGUUUGAGUCAAAACGCAGUUAUAAAGCUUUGAUUAGCAAGAAAAAGCUCCAGGCACAAAGGGAGGAAUGGCAGUGCCUAGUGGAGGCCUCCCAAAGGAAAGAUUCUGCCACGUUUUGGAAAAUAAUUGCAAAAAGCUGGAGAGACUCCCGAUUGAAAUCGAAUACUCUAUACCCGCUGGAGCAUGGGAGGCCUAUUUCCUCUCAUUAUAUUCAUCAAAUCAACUGGCCCCAGCUCUGCUUCCUGCUUCAAGUGAAUUUGGUAAGGAAUGGCCCCCUGUAACCAUAGAAGAAAUUACUGGACUUAUUCAAGCUCUUAAAUCAGGGAAAGCCCGGGUGCUGACAAUAUCCCACCAGAAAUUCUUAAGGCAAAUGUCGAAUGGUGGGCCCCUGUGCUAGCCGCCUUGUUCACUAGUAUAAAUCAAGCGGCUAUUAUCCCCGAGGACUGGGGUUUAGCCAUCAUCAUUCCAAUAUUUAAGAAAGGAAACAGAACUGAGCCAGCUAACUAUAGACCAAUCAGUCUAUUAAGUAUUAUUAGCAAACUGUAUGCUGCUCAUUUAUGUGAUAAAUUAGUGGAGUGGAUGGAAAGAGAGCAUAUUCUAUCAGAAGCUCAAGCCGGUUUUAGAGCAAAGCGUUCAACUAUAGACCAGGCCCUUACCCUUCAACACCUGGCAGACAAAUAUUCUAGAAAAGGGGGGUCUUUAUAUGCAGCAUUCGUGGAUUUUAAAUCGGCGUUUGAUCUAAUACCAAGGGAUAGACUCUGGGAAAAGCUUGGCGCUACAAACAUAGAUAAACGCUUAUUACGCCUUAUCCGUGGUCUAUACGAAAACACCAGGGUGAGGGUAAGAUGCGAUCGGUCAGGCCAUCUAACUAAAGAAAUUCAAACGCACUAUGGGGUUAAACAAGGAUGUGUCCUCGCGCCAACGCUAUUUAAUUUCUAUAUCAACUCUCUAGCAGUAAAUAUGGCGAAAGAAAAUGCCCACCCUCCCAAACUGGCAGGUAUUCCCAUCCCGGUGCUUCUGUAUGCGGACGACGCAGUCCUACUCUCCUUUUCCUGCAUUGGCCUGAGGAAGCUUUUGAGAUCACUUGCUGACUAUUGUCAAGCGGAACAACUAUCAAUAAAUUACAGCAAAUCUAAAAUUAUGGUGUUUUCAAAAAAGAAGGAAACACAAAUGGAGAAUUAAUGGUCAACCUAUUGACCAGGUAGCAACUUUCAAAUACCUGGGAAUAACUUUUCAGGAAAGGGUCUCGUGGCAUCAACAGAUGAAAACGCCAUUGCCAACGCAGGAAGGGCUAAUAAAGCCCUUACAAGAUUUUUUCACGGGAAAGGGGGUAAAUACGUUCCGGCGGCCUCCCAGGUUUUUGCUGCAAAAAUACUCCCACAACUUACUUAUGGAUCCCAGGUUUGCAGUUUUAAAAAUUUUGCGCCUAUGGAGGCAUUUCAAACAAAAUUCUAUCGGUGUUUAUUGGGGAUCCCCCCCUGUGUAUCUAAUAUAGCUGUCCGCUUAGAAGUUGGACAACCACCCGUUAAUGCGCGGCUGUGGAUUCUAAAGAUACACUACUGGUUAAAACUUAUUUUUCCCCGGCCGGUUUGGCUCCUUUAACACUCUUAGACACCUUUCAUUCCACCUGGAAAGCUUCCCUGUUUGAAAAGAUAAGAAGCUUGGGAUUCUCCCCGCAGAUCUUGAUAGCGGCAGGAUAUGAGAGAGCCAGAAGUCAAGUGCUCCAACGCAUUAGGGACAUAGAGCUGCAAUGUCAUAUGGGCAAAAUGGAUAAACAUGCCAUAAUUAGAGACUUUGGGAGAGGGUUCUCACCCGCAAAUUAUUUGGCUGAUUUACAAAUACCUAAGUACAGACACUCCUUUACCCUGGCCAGAUUUAACGUUCUGCCCUCUGCCCUGCUGCUAGGCAGAUAUGAGGGCAAACCAUAUGAGUCACGUGUUUGCCCGUGUGGCUCAUCGGAAGUGGAAACAAGUCUGCAUGUAUUGCUGCACUGUAGUUACUAUGAGGAUCUACGCUUGACCUUUAUUGCCCCAGUUCUACAAAAGCUUAAAAAUGAACCAGAACUCCAACGUAUGAGAGCCUUGGUAGAAGAUAAGGUUUCUGAAAUUACGAUCAAUGUGGCCAAAUUUUGUGUAGCCGCUAUUAGGCGCAGGAAACAAGAGCUUUCCAAUGUCAUUACGCAGGCGAAGGCAAAUACUUAAUUUUUUAUUUAUGCUGUCUAAUUUUAAAUUGCAGUUAUGUAUUGAAAUUGUCCUUUGUUUUUUCCGGUGUUAUGCUUCGCUGACUAGCUGUACGAGUUAAUCUGGUCUGUGACCGUUUAAUAAAUUUGAUUUGAUUCUGAUCGGCAAGCCCUAGGCUCUGUGGUUUAACCCACAGCGCCACCCACAUCCAAGGGAUGUGAUAGUCCGACUCUAAUCUGCCUUGGUCAGACCACCCCUGGAAGACCAUGUCCAGUUCUGGGCACCACAAUUUAAGAAGGAUGUUGAUAAGCUGGAAGGUGGGCAGAGGAGGGCAACCAAGAUGACCAGAGGUCUGGAAACCAAGCCUGAUGAGGAACAGUUGAUGGAGCUGGGUAUGUUUGGACUGGAAAAGAGGAGACUGAGAGGAGAUAGGAGAGCCAUCUUCAACUAUCUCAAGGGCUGUCACAGGGAAGAGGGAACAAGAUUGUUUUCUCCUGCUCUGGAGGGUAGGACUCGAACCCAUGGCUCCAAGUUACGAGAAAGGAGAUUCCGACUCAGCAUCAGGAAGAACUUUCUGAUGACAAGAGUUGUCCAACAAUGGAAGAGACUCCCUCGAGAGGCAGGGGACUUCUCCUUCCUUGGAGGUUUUUAAGCAGAGGUUGGAUGGCCCUCUGUCAGGGAUGCUUUCGCGGAGAUUCCUGCAUUUCAGUGGGUUGGACUAGAGGACCUUUGGGUCCCUUCCAGCUCUUAAGAUUCUAUGAGGCUCGGGGGUAAGGUUGCCAGCUUUUCAUAACAGUGAAACUUUUCAGCGAACUUUUCUUAACAGUGGCUGGGUAGUUCUGUGGUGCUGGGAUCCGUGAGUUCCCAGGAUUAUUUGGGGGGGGGGUUCGGAGGGGAGAGUGAUAUAAAUGUCUGGGGCGGACAGAGAGGUGGAAGGAACGUCCGUCUCAAAUGCUGAGCAGGACUCUCAGAUCAACGCCUGAGGGCGCCAUUGGCUUGUCCUUUGGCUGAACUUCAUGAAUAACCAGUGACCAUCAUGCUCAGAUCUGCUACAGGAAGGAAGGAAUCAAGGGAGCUAAGAACCUUCGUUCUUGCUCAUAGUAGCACUGGUGGCAAGAGUUGGAAGGGACCUCGUGGGCUCAUCAAGUCCAACCCCACUGCAGCGCAGGAACCACAGCUACAUCUAACUUCAUGCACAAGUCUUUGGAGCAAAAACCCAAACUCUGUACACGGUCAAAUGACAUCAAGGUCGAGAACAGUGCCUGAAAAUUCUCCCACAGUGGCCGCAGUGCUGGAUUUACAUAUAAGCUAAACAAGCUAUAGCUUAGGGCCCCACUCUCUUGGGGGGCCCCCAAAAAAUUCAAAGAAAACAACAACCUGGAUGUACAUUUCC